rnacentral:rRNA from 1 species
UACGUAGGGUGCAAGCGUUAAUCGGAAUUACCGGGCGUAAAGCGUGCGCAGGCGGUUUUGUAAGUCUGUUGUGAAAUCCCCGGGCUUAACCUGGGAAUGGCAAUGGAGACUGCAAGGCUAGAGUUUGGCAGAGGGGGGUAGAAUUCCACGUGUAGCAGUGAAAUGCGUAGAGAUGUGGAGGAACACCGAUGGCGAAGGCAGCCCCCUGGGUCAAGACUGACGCUCAUGCACGAAAGCGUGGGGAGCAAACAGG